rnacentral:tRNA from 1 species
GCAGUGAUGGUUCGGUGGUAGAAUUCUCGCUUCCAUGCAGGAGACCUGGGCUCAAUUCCCAGCCGAUGCA